rnacentral:lncRNA from 1 species
CAAAAACAUAUAGACAUUUCUGCCUCAUGACUCUUAGAUGCAGAGUUUAACUAAAAGCUAUCUCUAGCUUUGUACGGCUGGUCCCCAGCAUGAGAUAGUGGGGUGAUUGUUCUCCCCAGAUAAUCUGUAGCCAUAAAAUAACUGGCCUUAGAAUUGUCUCCAUUCCUGUGCUGCUCAAAGUGAAGUCCAAGGGCUGGCAGCCUGAGCAACAACUGGGAGCUGGUAGGAAGCGCAGAAUCCCAGCCCCGCUGAGAAGAAUCGACACUUCAACAGGAUUCCCAGGUGAGCCCUAUGCACAACAGCGUUUGAGAAGCACUGGUCUAGAGAACGUCCUACUUCACAGAUGUGGAAACUGAGGCCCAGACAGGGCUCGUCUCCUGUGUGAUCUUCCCACUCUCUCAUCAAGAGGUGGAGUCUAACUUGUGUCCUUUGAUUCUGGGGCAUCCACUGUCCAAACCCAGGAAGAAGUCAGAGUCAAUGGGGUUUUUUUGUCAAGAGAAUUGCAUUCCAUAUAGUUUAAGAGAGACAG